rnacentral:misc_RNA from 1 species
GGUCUAUUGCAGGGAAAUCGGUGGAAGAACGGGAAUAGGGAGUAUACACAUUGCCAAUUCUUUGUAAUUGUCUAUAUAGACCAAACCCCCCAUCAAAUCGAGGAGAAAAACCCACUUGAAGGAGCAAAACCAAGAAGCAUAUGCUUUCUGUGAAAUGGCAACUAGCAGUCUGGAACAACGUCGUUUUGUGAAGAGAGCACAUCAAAUGGGGAAUAGGGAAGGAAUUGCA